rnacentral:rRNA from 1 species
GGCGUAAAGAGCUCGUAGGUGGUUUGUCGCGUUGUUCGUGAAAUCUCACGGCUUAACUGUGAGCGUGCGGGCGAUACGGGCAGACUUGAGUACUGCAGGGGAGACUGGAAUUCCUGGUGUAGCGGUGGAAUGCGCAGAUAUCAGGAGGAACACCGGUGGCGAAGGCGGGUCUCUGGGCAGUAACUGACGCUGAGGAGCGAAAGCGUGGGGAGCGAACAGGAUUAGAUACCCUGGUAGUCCACGCCGUAAACGGUGGGUACUAGGUGUGGGUUUCCUUCCUUGGGAUCCGUGCCGUAGCUAACGCAUUAAGUACCCCGCUUGGGGAGUACGGCCGCAAGGCUAAAACUCAAAGAAAUUGACGGGGGCCCGCACAAGCGGCGGAGCAUGUGGAUUAAUUCGAUGCAACGCGAAGAACCUUACCUGGGUUUGACAUGCACAGGACGCCGGCAGAGAUGUCGGUUCCCUUGUGGCCUGUGUGCAGGUGGUGCAUGGCUGUCGUCAGCUCGUGUCGUGAGAUGUUGGGUUAAGUCCCGCAACGAGCGCAACCCUUGUCUCAUGUUGCCAGCGGGUAAUGCCGGGGACUCGUGAGAGACUGCCGGGGUCAACUCGGAGGAAGGUGGGGAUGACGUCAAGUCAUCAUGCCCCUUAUGUCCAGGGCUUCACACAUGCUACAAUGGCCGGUACAAAGGGCUGCGAUGCCGCGAGGUUAAGCGAAUCCUUUUAAAGCCGGUCUCAGUUCGGAUCGGGGUCUGCAACUCGACCCCGUGAAGUCGGAGUCGCUAGUAAUCGCAGAUCAG